AAAUCCUAAGCACAUUCUACCAACAACAACCAUCGCAACACCAACAAUGGUUCCCCAUAGCAAAGCCUUAGUUUUCAUCCUCCUCUUACUCUUUGUUAGCUCAUUUUCAGGCUGUGCAGAUGGCUUCAAGGAUGGAGCAAAGCUUCCAUAUCCAAAUAGCUCGGAGAAUAUCCAAAUGAUGGCGCGAAAGCUUAUAGGAGUUGAAGCCCUGUUGGACUAUGAAAAACCUGGAUCUAAUCCCUCACACACCCCAACUCCAGAUAAUGGUGGGAAAGACACCGGGGGAAAAACCCGCAAAGGAAGCAGUGUCAACAACUGAGUAACUCUACCUCAUGUUACAGUUUGGUGAGUGCUUUGCUAAAAUAAACGUCACUCUGACAGAAGGGUGACAUUGUAAAACAUCUAUUGGAAAAAUGAAGAAAAAGGACCAUGCCCAUACUAUAUGUAUUUCUACCGAAGAAAAGCAAUAAUAAGAAACUCAUCUCAGGCUCAAACCUGGCCUUAAAUCAUAAA